UGUCAUGACCUGAAUAAAUGAGCUAAGUGAAGAAUAAAGAAACGACGAAUAGAAUUAUAAUACCUGGACGCAUGAGAUUUAAUUGGAGUUUAUGAAGCUGAAGGGCUGUGAUUGCACGUGAGCAUCAGCAUCCUAUAACUAAGUCCCGGAAAGAGCAAAGAGGGGCAUCGAUCAAUUGGGGCGAGAUUCUAGAGAGAUUGACCACUGGCGGCAGAAAACUCAAUGAAGCAGAGAUGGGCAUUAGGGGAACACUAGAAUUGAUCCUAGAAUGAUUGAACGCCAUAGCAAGGAGGUUAACACCAGUACCAAAUCUGAACUCUGAUGAAACUGAACGCAGUGUACGCAAAGUCAAUUGCAAGUGCAACAUUUGUAUCGGAAUUGAUGCUACAUCUUUGCGAAGUAUAAUAUGUUGUGUAUGCAACAUUGAUUUUGAGUGUACAAUUUGUAUCAAAACUGAUCUUACAUCUCCAGGAAGUGCAGGAGGUUGCUUACACAGCAUUGAUUGUGAGUGCGACAUUCGUAUUGGAAGUGAUACAUCUCUAGGAGGUGAAGGCCUGAACUACGAUGAGACAGAGAUAAUUUGGCCUCACGAUUUUCAUAUACUUGACGAUCCACAGAUUCAUCAAUCAAGGAAGAUGACAAUCAGCAAGAAUUCAAUAAAGAGAUCAAGGACAAUCAAAAAGGAAAUCGAAGAUUAGCCUUAACAUUAUUCUUGGAAAAUAAGGAUCUCCAUUGCCUUCUUUUACUAGGAUCAAAUCUCUUGGGUUGCUAUCUCUUCAUUUGGAAGAUUCCAGUCUCAACACUUUAAAAGUUGCGUCUGUGAAAGAAGAAGGUGUACAACGAGUCUGAAUCAUCCUACAUUAUCUACUCUACUUUUAAAAAGCAUUGUAUUACUUAGUUUCUACUGUUUAAAC